UGAGUGCUAAGUGUUGGAGGGUUUCCGCCCUUCAGUGCUGCAGCUAACGCAUUAAGCACUCCGCCUGGGGAGUACGACCGCAAGGUUGAAACUCAAAGGAAUUGACGGGGGCCCGCACAAGCGGUGGAGCAUGUGGUUUAAUUCGAAGCAACGCGAAGAACCUUACCAGGUCUUGACAUCCUUUGACCACUCUAGAGAUAGAGCUUCCCCUUCGGGGGCAAAGUGACAGGUGGUGCAUGGUUGUCGUCAGCUCGUGUCGUGAGAUGUUGGGUUAAGUCCCGCAACGAGCGCAACCCUUAUUGUUAGUUGCCAUCAUUCAGUUGGGCACUCUAGCAAGACUGCCGGUGACNAACCGGAGGAAGGUGGGGAUGACGUCAAAUCAUCAUGCCCCUUAUGACCUGGGCUACACACGUGCUACGAUGGGAAAGUACAACGAGUU
rnacentral:rRNA from 1 species